UUCCGCUGGGGGGUGUUGGCGCCCCGACCUUCGGGGGCUCAUUUUUGGGCGCGGCUGUGCCCGUGUCCUAUUUUUGGCACACGGAGGCCGCCCGCAAAGUCUGGGGCCAUUCCGAGUCCGGCGGACGAACUUCGCCCACGCCCCCCGCCAAGGCUAUAGCACACCCGUUUCUGGGCCAUUUUUCCGCUGGGGGGUGUUGGCGCCCCGACCUUCGGGCGCUCAUUUUUGGGCGCGGCUGUGCCCGUGGCCUAUUUUUGGCACACGGAGGCCGCCCGCAAAGUCUGGGGCCAUUGCGAGUCCGGCGGACGAACUUCGCCCACGCCCCCCGCCAAGGCUAUAGCACACCCGUUUCUGGGCCAUUUUUCUGCUGGGGGGAGUUGGCGCCCCGACCUUCGGGCGCUCAUUUUUGGACGCGGCUGUGCCCGUGGCCUAUUUUUGGCACACGGAGGCCGCCCGCAAAGUCUGGGGCCAUUCCGAGUCCGGCGGACGAACUUCGCCCACGCCCCCCUCCAAGGCUAUAGCCCACCCGUUUUUUGGCCAUUUUUCCGCUGGGGGGUGUUGGAACCCGACCUUCGGGAGCUCAUUUUUGGGCGCGGCUAAGCCCGUGGCCUAUUUUUGGCACACGGAGGCCGCCCGUAAAGUCUGGGGCCAUUCCGAGUCCGGCGGACGAACUUCGCCCACGCCCCCCGCCAAGGCUAUAGCACACCCGUUUCUGGGCCAUUUUUCCGCUGGGGGGUGUUGGCGCCCCGACCUUCGGGCGCUCAUUUUUGGGCGCGGCUGUGCCCGUGGCCUAUUUUUGGCACACGGAGGCCGCCCGCAAAGUCUGGGGCCAUUCCGAGUCCGGCGGACGAACUUCGCCCGCGGCCCCCGCCAAAGGCUAUAGCCCACCCUUUUUUUGGCCAUUUUUCCGCUGGGGGGUGUUGGCGGCCCGACCUUCGGGCGCUCAUUUUUGGGCGCGGCUGUGUCCGUGGCCUAUUUUUUGCACACGGAGGCCGCCCGCAAAGUCUGGGGCCAUUCCGAGUCCGGCGGACGAACUUCGCCCACGCCCCCCUCCAAGGCUAUAGCCCACCCGUUUUUUGGCCAAUUUUCCGCUGGGGGGUGUUGGAACCCGACCUUCGGGAGCUCAUUUUUGGGCGCGGCUAAGCCCGUGGCCUAUUUUUGGCACACGGAGGCCGCCCGUAAAGUCUGGGGCCAUUCCGAGUCCGGCGGACGAACUUCGCCCACGCCCCCCACCAAGGCUAUCGGCCACCCGUUUUUCGGCCAAUUUUCCGCUGGGGGGUGUUGGCGCCCCGACCUUCGGGCGCUCGUUUUUGGGCGCGGCUGCGCCCGUGGACUAUUUUUGGCGCACGGAGGCCGCCCGCAAAGUCUGGGGCCAUUCCGAGUCCGGCGGACGAACUUCGCCCACGCCCCCCGCCAAGGCUAUAGCCCACCCAUUUUUUGGCCAUUUUUCCGCUGGGGGGUGUUGGCGCCCCGACCUUUGGGCGCUCAUUUUUGGGCGCGGCUGUGCCCGUGGCCUAUUUUUGGCACACGGAGGCCGCCCGCAAAGUCUGGGGCCAUUCCGAGUCCGGCGGACGAACUUCGCCCACGCCCCCCGCCAAGGCUAUAGCACACCCGUUUUUUGGCCAUUUUUCCGCUGGGGGGUGUUGGCGGCCCGACCUU
rnacentral:lncRNA from 1 species